CAAACUGGAGAUGGCGACCGGCGCACGGGUGAGUAACACGUAUCCAACCUGCCGAUAACUCGGGGAUAGCCUUUCGAAAGAAAGAUUAAUACCCGAUGGUAUAAUAAAACCGCAUGGUUUAAUUAUUAAAGAAUUUCGGUUAUCGAUGGGGAUGCGUUCCAUUAGGCAGUUGGUGAGGUAACGGCUCACCAAACCUUCGAUGGAUAGGGGUUCUGAGAGGAAGGUCCCCCACAUUGGUACUGAGACACGGACCAA
rnacentral:rRNA from 1 species